UACAGAGGGUGCAAGCGUUAAUCGGAGUUACUGGGCGUAAAGGGCGCGUAGGCGGAUGAUUAAGUGAGAUGUGAAAUCCCCGGGCUUAACCUGGGAACUGCAUCUUAUACUGGUCGACUAGAGUACUGUAGAGGGUAGUGGAAUUUCCGGUGUAGCGGUGAAAUGCGUAGAGAUCGGAAGGAACACCAGUGGCGAAGGCGACUACCUGGACAGAUACUGACGCUGAGGCGCGAGAGCGUGGGGAGCAAACAGG
rnacentral:rRNA from 1 species